rnacentral:rRNA from 1 species
CCUACGGGAGGCAGCAGUGGGGAAUAUUGCACAAUGGGCGCAAGCCUGAUGCAGCAACGCCGCGUGAGGGACGACGGCCUUCGGGUUGUAAACCUCUUUUAGUAGGGAAGAAGCGAAAGUGACGGUACCUGCAGAAAAAGCACCGGCUAACUACGUGCCAGCAGCCGCGGUAAUACGUAGGGUGCAAGCGUUAUCCGGAAUUAUUGGGCGUAAAGAGCUCGUAGGCGGUUUGUCGCGUCUGCUGUGAAAACUGGAGGCUCAACCUCCAGCCUGCAGUGGGUACGGGCAAACUAGAGUGCGGUAGGGGAGAUUGGAAUUCCUGGUGUAGCGGUGGAAUGCGCAGAUAUCAGGAGGAACACCGAUGGCGAAGGCAGAUCUCUGGGCCGUAACUGACGCUGAGGAGCGAAAGCAUGGGGAGCGAACAGGAUUAGAUACCCUGGUAGUCCAUGCCGUAAACGUUGGGCGCUAGAUGUGGGGACCAUUCCACGGUUUCCGUGUCGCAGCUAACGCAUUAAGCGCCCCGCCUGGGGAGUACGGCCGCAAGGCUAAAACUCAAAUGAAUUGACGG